CUGGCUCCAAGGCGAACAUGUCUGGGUCCUAAGACAGAGCACUCUUCUGUGGGCUGAAUCGUGAUCGGGAGGGCGUGAGAAAUGGGUUAAGUUUAGCAGAUUGACACGUGAAGCCAUAAUUAUGUAUUUAUCCCACAUUCCAAAGCUUAGGGAAGUGGCUGUGACCUAACUGUUCAAUUAAGAAAAUCAAAGAUGCAACGCCAGAAUGAAACCCAAUACCAUCACCAAUAAAGACACACAACACUUUUUGUGUUAAUUACAGGUUUUAUUAGGGGUCUUCCGACUUAACAAAGGAAAAAGGGGUUAGUGGUUUGGCUUACCCGCAGGCCGAACAGUGUUGGUGGGUCACCGCUGUCUAACGGUGACUGACAUGCUAUGGACUCCUGCACCUUGGACUCCCGGCCCCGCUGAGUGUCCAGCCAGGGAAGGGCAACAACGCAAGCUAAAGGCAACUUGUCAGGGACAGCCUGGACCUGCUGCUUCCUGUUCAGCACUCAACAAACCCCUUCUCCGGGACGGACCAGAGCGCUCCUGGCUCCCCAGACGCAGCAAUGCCAGCGGAUGGUCGGCUGUCGGCUGAGCAGGCCUCACUCCUUCUUUUGUUCUGUGUUACCUAAACCUAAUAAACCCAUUACCUUAAAGUUC